AGUUUGAUCCUGGCUCAGGAUGAACUCUUGCGGCAGGCUUAACACAUGCAAGUCGAGGGGCAUCGCGGGUGGCAACACCUGGCGGCGACCGGCGAACGGGUGAGUAACGCGUGAGCAACAUGUCCUCAGUCGGGGGAUAAGCGAGGGAAACUUCGUCUAAUACCCCAUAACACUUUCAGGCGCAUGCCUUUAAGUUGAAAGCUUUUUUUGCGACUUUGGUUUGGCUCGCGUGACAUUAGCUAGUCGGUGGGGUAACGGCUCACCGAGGCUACGAUGUCUAGGGGUUCUGAGAGGAAGGCCCCCCACAUUGGGACUGGGACACGGCCCAAACUCCUACGGGAGGCAGCAGUGAGGAAUAUUGGUCAAUGGACGCAAGUCUGAACCAGCCACGUCGCGUGAAGGAAGACGGCCCUACGGGUUGUAAACUUCUUUUGUAAGGGAAUAAAGUGAGUCACGUGUGGCUUUUUGCAUGUACCUUACGAAUAAGGAUCGGCUAACUCCGUGCCAGCAGCCGCGGUAAUACGGAGGAUCCGAGCGUUAUCCGGAUUUAUUGGGUUUAAAGGGUGCUCAGGCGGGCCAUUAAGUCGGCGGUGAAAUUUUGCGGCUCAACCGUAAAAGUGCCUUCGAUACUGGUGGUCUUGAGUGUGGAUGAGGUAGGCGGAAUUUGUGGUGUAGCGGUGAAAUGCAUAGAUAUCACGAGGAACUCCGAUUGCUAAGGCAGCUUACUAAGCCAUAACUGACGCUCAAGCACGAAGGCGUGGGGAUCAAACAGGAUUAGAUACCCUGGUAGUCCACGCAGUAAACGAUGAUUACUGGCUGUUUGCGAUAUAUUGUAAGCGGCUGAGCGAAAGCGUUAAGUAAUCCACCUGGGGAGUACGUUCGCAAGAAUGAAACUCAAAGGAAUUGACGGGGGCCCGCACAAGCGGAGGAACAUGUGGUUUAAUUCGAUGAUACGCGAGGAACCUUACCCGGGCUUGAAAUGCAGAUGACAGGCGGCGAGAACCGUUUUUCCUUCGGGACAUCUGUGUAGGUGCUGCAUGGUUGUCGUCAGCUCGUGCCGUGAGGUGUCGGCUUAAGUGCCAUAACGAGCGCAACCCUCAUCGUUAGUUGCCAUCAGGUCAAGCUGGGGACUCUAACGGGACUGCCAUCGUAAGAUGUGAGGAAGGUGGGGAUGACGUCAAAUCAGCACGGCCCUUAUGUCCGGGGCGACACACGUGUUACAAUGGGGGGUACAGCGGGUUGCUACCUGGCGACAGGAUGCCAAUCUCACAAAACCCUUCUCAGUUCGGAUCGGAGUCUGCAACUCGACUUCGUGAAGCUGGAUUCGCUAGUAAUCGCGCAUCAGCCACGGCGCGGUGAAUACGUUCCCGGGCCUCCCACAAAGCGCCCGUCAAG
rnacentral:rRNA from 1 species